GUAGCUCAGUGGUAGAGCAUUGACUUUAUAAGCUAAAGGUAGUGGGUUCGAUCCCCAAGCAGUACA
rfam:Daphnia magna strain Xinb3 scaffold00568, whole genome shotgun sequence.